GGGGCCUUAGCUCAGCUGGGAGAGUGCCUGCUUUGCACGCAGGAGGUCAUCGGUUCGAUCCCGAUAGGCUCCAUCA
rnacentral:tRNA from 1 species